GAUGAACGCUAGCUACAGGCUUAACACAUGCAAGUCGAGGGGAAACGGCAUUAAGUGCUUGCACUUUUUGGACGUCGACCGGCGCACGGGUGAGUAACGCGUAUCCAACCUUCCCAUGACUAAGGGAUAACCUGCCGAAAGGCAGACUAAUACCUUAUGGUCUUCACUGACGGCAUCAGAUGUGAAGUAAAGAUUUAUCGGUUAUGGAUGGGGAUGCGUCUGAUUAGCUUGUUGGCGGGGUAACGGCCCACCAAGGCAACGAUCAGUAGGGGUUCUGAGAGGAAGGUCCCCCAAAUUGGAACUGAGACACGGUCCAAACUCCUACGGGAGGCAGCAGUGAGGAAUAUUGGUCAAUGGGCGAGAGCCUGAACCAGCCAAGUAGCGUGCAGGAUGACGGCCCUAUGGGUUGUAAACUGCUUUUGUAUGGGGAUAAAGUCAAUCACGUGUGAUUGUUUGCAGGUACCAUACGAAUAAGGACCGGCUAAUUCCGUG
rnacentral:rRNA from 1 species